rnacentral:rRNA from 1 species
UACGUAGGGUGCAAGCGUUAAUCGGAAUUACUGGGCGUAAAGCGUGCGCAGGCGGUCUUGCAAGACAGAUGUGAAAUCCCCGGGCUCAACCCUGGGAACUGCAUUUGUGACUGCAAGGCUGGAGUACGGUAGAGGGGGAUGGAAUUCCGCGUGUAGCAGUGAAAUGCGUAGAUAUGCGGAGGAACGCCGAUGGCGAAGGCAAUCCCCUGGACCUGUACUGACGCUCAUGCACGAAAGCGUGGGGAGCAAACAGG